GAGUUUGAUCCUGGCUCAGGAUGAACGCUGGCGGCAUGCCUAAUACAUGCAAGUCGAACGAGAAUCAUUGAGGUGCUUGCACCACUUUGAUUCUAGUGGCGAACGGGUGAGUAACACGUGAGAAAUCUGCCCUUUAGACUGGGAUAACUACUGGAAACGGUUUGUAAUACCGGAUGUCUUCUUUGUACCGCAUGGUACUUAGAGAAAAGCUUAGAUGCACUAAAGGAUGAUCUCGCGGCGUAUUAGCUAGUUGGUGAGAUAACGGCUCACCAAGGCAACGAUGGGUAACCGGUCUGAGAGGAUGAACGGUCACACUGGAACUGAGACACGGUCCAGACUCCUACGGGAGGCAGCAGUGGGGAAUAUUGCACAAUGGAGGAAACUCUGAUGCAGCGACGCCGCGUGAAUGAUGAAGGCUUUCGAGUCGUAAAAUUCUGUCCUUAGGGAAGAUAAUGACGGUACCUAAGGAGGAAGCCCCGGCUAACUACGUGCCAGCAGCCGCGGUAAUACGUAGGGGGCGAGCGUUGUCCGGAUUUAUUGGGCGUAAAGGGUUCGCAGGCGGUUUUUUAAGUCAGGUGUUAAAGACUACAGCUUAACUGUAGAAAGCAUUUGAAACUGGAGAACUUGAGUUAAGGAGAGGAAAGUGGAAUUCCUAGUGUAGCGGUGAAAUGCGUAGAUAUUAGGAGGAAUACCAGUGGCGAAGGCGACUUUCUGGACUUAUACUGACGCUGAGGAACGAAAGCAUGGGGAGCAAACAGGAUUAGAUACCCUGGUAGUCCAUGCCGUAAACGAUGAGUGCUAGGUGUCGGGGGUCAUACCUCGGUGCCGGAGCUAACGCA
rnacentral:rRNA from 1 species